GACGAACUUGAAGGGACCAUGAAAAUUUGUUCGUCUUAUUGGAAUAAUUGGCAACAUGACCAGGUGCAUCCAAAUAUCUUACUUAAAAACGGUAAAUGAAGUAGACUUA
rnacentral:lncRNA from 1 species